ensembl:lncRNA
AUGAACUGCAGGUUCAUCAGUACCAUCUUUCUAGAUCCCAUUCUACAUAUAAUGAUAGAGGCUGAAACUCCAAUACUUUGGCCACCUCAUGCGAAGAGCUGACUCAUUGGAAAAGACCCUGAUGCUGGGAGGGAUUGGGGGCAGGAGGAGAAGGGGACGACAGAGGAUGAGAUGGCUGGAUGGCAUCACCGACUCAAUGGACGUGAGUCUGAGUGAACUCCGGGAGUUGGUGAGGGACAGGGAGGCCUGGCGUGCUGCGAUUCAUGGGGUCGCAAAGAGUUGGACACGACUGAGCGACUGAACUGAACUGAACUGACUGAAGGGCGUAGUUAUGGACUCCAGUAUUUUUGCCUGGAGAAUUCCAUGGACAGAGGAGACUGGUGGGCUACAGUCCAUAGGGUCACACAGAGUUGGACACAACUAAGAGACUAACACUGUCACACUUAUCUAAACUCCAUCCCCUAGAUUCGUUCUUCCCUAUUAAUAGAAUCCCAGUUUCAUUCAGGUAGAAGGAAGAUCCUUUGAUUUCAAGGAAGCUAAGUUCCUCUCCGUUAAGUGAAAAAAUGAAAGUGUUAGCCACUCAGUCAUGUCCGACUGUUUGCGACCCCGUAGACUGUAGCCUGCCAGGCUCCUCUGUUCUUGGAAUUCUCCAGGCAAGAAUACUGGGGUAGGCAGCCAUUCCUUUCCCCAGGGGAUCUUCCCGACUGAGGGAUUGAACUUGGGUCUCCUGCAUUUCAGGCAGAUUCUUUAUCAUCUGAGCCACCAAGAAGCCCUUUCCCACCCCCAAAUCAGGGGCUAAAUCACAAUACGUCUAAAUCAAUCUGGUGAUACCAUUUCUCCUUGCCAAUGAUUGGUCUAGGAGUGGGUACAAGACACAGUUCUGGUUAAUGAAACAUGAAAGGAAGUCUUCUGGGAGGCUCUUAGGAAAUUGUUUAUUUUUGCAUAAAGAGAAAAUUUUCUUUUGCUCCUUUCUCUGUCUUUUGGCUAAGACAAAAGGAUGAAUACCCAAGGUCUGGAGCUACCAUGGCUGUCUUGUGCUCAAAUGGGGCAUCAGUCUUUGUUUUUAGUAACUAUCUUAAGUACAUUUUUCAUGUAAAAUGUGAACAGAGGAAUAAAUAUGCCAUUAUGUUAUCAUAUAUAAGGGAUAUUAGCUCAAGUAUGACAGGUACACUCUUGGGAAGAAGUGGUUAUCAUCCGUACAAGGCCGCAGAGAAGAGCAUGAUAUACAAAAUUGAAAAUGGAAUCACCCAUGCACAUUUGGAAGCUGCCCAGGAUAAUCAGGUCAUUUUGAGGAUUGGGUUCCAGCAGAAGUGAUGGCUUUGGCCGAACAUGAGCUUGGGUGAAGACUAUGCCUGUGGGGUUAAAGAGAAAGAGUCAAGGACUUCCCUGGUGGCACAGCAGAUAGGAAUUCACCUGCCGAUGCAGGGGAAAUUGGUUCGAUCCCUGGUUCGGAAAAAUCCUGUAGGCAACUAAAGCCUGUGCACCACAACUGCUGAAGCCUGUGUGCCUAGAGCCUGUGCUCUCCAACAAGAGAAGCCACCACAGUGAGAAGCCUGUGUACUGCAGCCAAGAACGGGAAAGUGACUCCAGAGCGAGGUGGCGGUGCACAACACUGUGAAUGCAUUAAAUGCCACUGAAUUGUACACUUAAAAAUAGUUGUUUGUUAUGCGAAUUUCACCUCAGUUUUUUUUUUUAAAAGGAGGAUGAAAGUUUGCAGGAUUUAGAAAUAAUGGGUAAAAGACUUCACCCCUAAUUUUUCUGAUUUUCAAGAGUCAACCCAGAGACUCUUCUGGGAGAAGAGCAAAUGCCUUAACCACUUACACAACAAUUAUGAGGGAAGGAGGGUUUGAGGUUUCAUUUCUGUUUCCUCCCUUAUCCACACAUAACCAUCGUCCUGUCUCUCAUUUUCUUCAUAUACUAGAUCUUUAUUCAGCAAAACCAAGGGAUAGUGCUUUUCUCUCCUUUUACCUGGAUCAGCAUCAUUCCUCAUUAUCA